GUAAAUUCGGAUAUGUUGCUUACAAAUGUCCAUUUAGGAAAAUUAGUCCACAUAAGUUGAUAUGAGUUCCUAAAGGAACUAUAAAUAGUUCAAUGAUGAAUAACAAAAUUGGUAGAUCAAUUUUUGAGGCACCCAAAAUCAAAUGGGUACCUAAAAACCAUCCUCUUUUGUAGACAAACCCACAAGCUAGGAGCAAGAGAUGGUG
rnacentral:lncRNA from 1 species